CUGGCGGCGUGCCUAAUACAUGCAAGUCGAACGGUCUUUCUAUGGAAGCUUGCUUCCACUGAGAAGAUAGUGGGCGAACGGGUGAGUAACACGUGGGUAACCUGCCCAUAAGAGGGGGAUAACAUCCGGAAACGGGUGCUAAUACCGCAUAGUUUUCUUGAUCGCAUGAUCGGGAAAGGAAAGACGGCCUUUGUGCUGUCGCUUAUGGAUGGACCCGCGGCGUAUUAGUUAGUUGGUGAGGUAACGGCUCACCAAGACGAUGAUACGUAGCCGACCUGAGAGGGUGAUCGGCCACAUUGGGACUGAGACACGGCCCAAACUCCUACGGGAGGCAGCAGUAGGGAAUCUUCCGCAAUGGACGAAAGUCUGACGGAGCAACGCCGCGUGAGUGAAGAAAGGGUUUUCGGAUCGUAAAACUCUGUUGUCAGAGAAGAACAAGUUGGAGAGUAACUGCUCCAGCCUUGACGGUAUCUGACCAGAAAGCCACGGCUAACUACGUGCCAGCAGCGGC
rnacentral:rRNA from 1 species